GACGAACGCUGGCGGCGCGCCUAACACAUGCAAGUCGAACGAACGGGCGAGAGCUUUCUUUCUCGAGCGAGUGGCGAACGGGUGAGUAACGCGUGAGGAACCUGCCUCUAAGAGGGGGACAACAGUUGGAAACGACGGCUAAUACCGCAUAAGCCCACGGGGCCCCCUGGCACAGAGGGAAAAGGAGCGAUACGCUUUGAGUUGGCAGCGCGUCCGAUUUGCUUGUUGGUGAGGUAAUGGCACGCGAAUGCGAGGAUCGGUAGCCGUACAGAGCGGUGGAACCGCGACAGUUGGGCGAAGCCACAGUCGGGACUCCUACGGGAAGGAGCAGAGGGGAACAUAGCACCAGGGGGGAAAACCUGAAGAAGCGCGGCCGGGUAGAGGAAGAAGGUCGUCGGAUAGUAAACUCCUGUUGUGGGGGCAGAUAAUGACGGUACCCAAUAAGGAAGUGACGGCUAACUACGUG
rnacentral:rRNA from 1 species